UACGUAGGGGGCAAGCGUUGUCCGGAAUCAUUGGGCGUAAAGAGCGUGUAGGCGGUCCGAUAAGUCCGCUCUGAAAGCCCGGGGCUCAACCCCGGGAGGCGGGCGGAUACUGUCGGGCUAGAGUCCGGAAGAGGCAAGUGGAAUUCCUGGUGUAGCGGUGAAAUGCGCAGAUAUCAGGAAGAACACCAAUGGCGAAGGCAGCUCUCUGGGACGGUACUGACGCUGAGACGCGAAAGCGUGGGGAGCGAACAGG
rnacentral:rRNA from 1 species